rnacentral:rRNA from 1 species
CCUACGGGAGGCAGCAGUGAGGAAUAUUGGUCAAUGGACGCAAGUCUGAACCAGCCAUGCCGCGUGCAGGAAGACGGCUCUAUGAGUUGUAAACUGCUUUUGUACGAGGGUAAACGCAGAUACGCGUAUCUGUCUGAAAGUAUCGUACGAAUAAGGAUCGGCUAACUCCGUGCCAGCAGCCGCGGUAAUACGGAGGAUUCAAGCGUUAUCCGGAUUUAUUGGGUUUAAAGGGUGCGUAGGCGGUCGGAUAAGUUAGAGGUGAAAUCCCGAGGCUCAACUUCGGAAUGGCCUCUGAAACUGUUCGGCUAGAGAGUAGUUGCGGUAGGCGGAAUGUAUGGUGUAGUGGUGAAAUGCUUAGAGAUCAUACAGAACACCGAUUGCGAAGGCAGCUUACCAAGCUACUUCUGACGUUGAGGCACGAAAGCGUGGGUAGCAAACAGGAUUAGAUACCCGAGUAGUC